CGUAACAAGGUCUCCGUAGGUGAACCUGCGGAGGGAUCAUUACACAAAUAUGAAGGCGGGCUGGAACCUCUCGGGGUUACAGCCUUGCUGAAUUAUUCACCCUUGUCUUUUGCGUACUUCUUGUUUCCUUGGUGGGUUCGCCCACCACUAGGACAAACAUAAACCUUUUGUAAUUGCAAUCAGCGUCAGUAACAAAUUAAUAAUUACAACUUUCAACAACGGAUCUCUUGGUUCUGGCAUCGAUGAAGAACGCAGCGAAAUGCGAUAAGUAGUGUGAAUUGCAGAAUUCAGUGAAUCAUCGAAUCUUUGAACGCACAUUGCGCCCUUUGGUAUUCCAAAGGGCAUGCCUGUUCGAGCGUCAUUUGUACCCUCAAGCUUUGCUUGGUGUUGGGCGUCUUGUCUCUAGCUUUGCUGGAGACUCGCCUUAAAGUAAUUGGCAGCCGGCCUACUGGUUUCGGAGCGCAGCACAAGUCGCACUCUCUAUCAGCAAAGGUCUAGCAUCCAUUAAGCCUUUUUUUCAACUUUGACCUCGGAUCA
rnacentral:rRNA from 2 species